rnacentral:rRNA from 1 species
UUGCACGCUGGCGGCAGGCCUAACACAUGCAAGUCGAGCGGAUGAAGGGAGCUUGCUCCUGGAUUCAGCGGCGGACGGGUGAGUAAUGCCUAGGAAUCUGCCUGGUAGUGGGGGAUAACGUCCGGAAACGGGCGCUAAUACCGCAUACGUCCUGAGGGAGAAAGUGGGGGAUCUUCGGACCUCACGCUAUCAGAUGAGCCUAGGUCGGAUUAGCUAGUUGGUGGGGUAAAGGCCUACCAAGGCGACGAUCCGUAACUGGUCUGAGAGGAUGAUCAGUCACACUGGAACUGAGACACGGUCCAGACUCCUACGGGAGGCAGCAGUGGGGUAUAUUGGACAAUGGGCGAAAGCCUGAUCCAGCCAUGCCGCGUGUGUGAAGAAGGUCUUCGGAUUGUAAAGCACUUUAAGUUGGGAGGAAGGGCAGUUAGUUAAUACCUUGCUGUUUUGACGUUACCAACAGAAUAAGCACCGGCUAACUUCGUG